CCCUUAGAUGUCCUGGGCCGCACGCGCGUUACACUGAUGCAUUCAACGAGCUUAUAACCUUGGCCGAGAGUCCUGGGCAAUCUUGUUAACGUGCAUCGUGAUAGGGAUAGAUUAUUGAAAUUAUUAAUCUUGAACGAGGAAUUCCUAGUAAACGCAGAUCAUCAAUCUGCAUUGAUUACGUCCCUGCCCUUUGUACACACCGCCCGUCGCACCUACCGAUUGGAUGGUCCGGUGAAGCCUCGGGAUUGUGGUUCUUGCCGCUUUAUUGUGGCGUGACCGCGAGAACUUGUCUAAACCUUAUCAUCUAGAGGAAGGUGAAGUCGUAACA
rnacentral:rRNA from 1 species